rnacentral:rRNA from 1 species
GAUGAACGCUGGCGGCGUGCCUAAUACAUGCAAGUCGAGCGAACGGACGAGAAGCUUGCUUCUCUGAUGUUAGCGGCGGACGGGUGAGUAACACGUGGAUAACCUACCUAUAAGACUGGGAUAACUUCGGGAAACCGGAGCUAAUACCGGAUAAUAUUUAGAACCGCAUGGUUCAAAAGUGAAAGACGGUCUUGCUGUCACUUAUAGAUGGAUCCGCGCUGCAUUAGCUAGUUGGUAAGGUAACGGCUUACCAAGGCAACGAUGCAUAGCCGACCUGAGAGGGUGAUCGGCCACACUGGAACUGAGACACGGUCCAGACUCCUACGGGAGGCAGCAGUAGGGAAUCUUCCGCAAUGGGCGAAAGCCGGACGGAGCAACGCCGCGUGAGUGAUGAAGGUCUUCGGAUCGUAAAACUCUGUUAUUAGGGAAGAACAUAUGUGUAAGUAACUGUGCACAUCUUGACGGUACCUAAUCAGAAAGCCACGGCUAACUACG